rnacentral:rRNA from 1 species
GACGAACGCUGGCGGCGUGCCUAAUACAUGCAAGUCGAGCGAAGUUUUUCUGGUGCUUGCACUAGAAAAACUUAGCGGCGAACGGGUGAGUAACACGUAAAGAACCUGCCUCAUAGACUGGGACAACUAUUGGAAACGAUAGCUAAUACCGGAUAACAGUAUUUCUCGCAUGAGAGAUAUUUAAAAGUUGGUUAUGCUAACACUAUGAGAUGGCUUUGCGGUGCAUUAGCUAGUUGGUGGGGUAAAGGCCUACCAAGGCGACGAUGCAUAGCCGACCUGAGAGGGUGAUCGGCCGCACUGGGACUGAGACACGGCCCAGACUCCUACGGGAGGCAGCAGUAGGGAAUCUUCCGCAAUGGGCGAAAGCCUGACGGAGCAACGCCGCGUGAGUGAAGAAGGAUUUCGGUUCGUAAAGCUCUGUUGUUAGGGAAGAAUGGAUAUGUAGUAACUAUACAUGUAAGAGACGGUACCUAACCAGAAAGCCACGGCUAACUACGUG